AGUCAGGGUCUCUCGUCGAGUCUGGGUCUAGGUUAGAUUUGGAAUCGUGGAGAUGCGGAAGGACACCCCUCCUCCGCUCGUUCCCCCGGCGGCCCGCGAGUAGAACCUACCCCCCAAUGCGCCGGCAUGCAUGGAACGUCAGUUGGAGGCUGCACGGUACCAGUCUGAUGGUUCCCUUCUGCUCGUGGGGGGGGGGGGUGUCUCCAGCCUGAGUGGUAGCUGCUGGGUAGGUUCUCUGUGGUUUUCCAAGGAUCCUAGUGCGGCCCCCAAUGAAGGUUUCUGCUCUGCUGGCGUCCAGACCGAGGCUGGAAUAGCUGACCUCACUUGGGUGGAGGACAAAGGUAUCCUGGUGGCUUCUGAUUCCGGUGCUGUUGAAUUGUGGGAGCUAGAUGAGAACAAGACACUUAUAGUCAGCAAGUUCUGCAAGGAUGAGCAUGAUGACAUUGUGUCUACUGUCACUGUCCUGAGCUCUGGCACACAAGCUGUCAGUGGUAGCAAAGACUGCUGCAUCAACAUUUGGGACCUGGCUCAACAGGUGUCACAGAAUUCAUACCGAGCUCAUGCAGGACAGGUUACCUGUGUUGCUGCCUCUCCCCACAAAGACUGUGUUUCUUUCAUGUCGUGAGGACAGUAGAAUUUUGCUCUGGGAUACCCACUGUCCCAAGCCGGCAUCACAGAUGGGCUGCAAUGCAUCUGGCUACCUCCCUACUGCCUUGGCUUGGCAUCCUCAUGAGAGUGAAUGAAGUCUUUGCUUUUGGUGACGAGAAUGGAUCUGUCUCCCUUGUGGACACCAAGAAUGCAAGCUGUACCCUCAGCUCAGCUGUGCACUCCCAGUGUGUCACUAGAAUGGUAUUCUCUCCUGACUUCUCUCAGUGAAGACUGUUCACUUGCUGUGCUGGAUUCAAGCUUUUCUGAGGUGUUUAAAGUCGAGCCCACAGAGACUUUGUGAGAGAUGCUACGUGGUCUCCACUCAAUCACUCCCUUCUUACCACAGUUGGCUGGGACCAUCAGGUCAUCCACCAUGUUGUGCCGUUAGAGCCUCUCCCAAACCCUGGACCUGACAGUGUUGUGGAGUAGAAUGGAUUUCAGAAAAAACAAAACAAGCCCUCCUCAGCCUGAGGGAAGCUGCAUCCCACAGUGACUCGGAGGAAGAAACUUCCUCUGGAAAUGGGUGUAUGUGAGUACACGUGUGUGAGUGCGGUGUAUAGUUUGGAGUGGAGAAAAUUAUUCUUCAGCUUUCCCAAAGCAAUGCUCUUUACCCCUGACAAAGUGACCAGAGGAUUUUAUGCUUCCCAUGUCUGGAAAUUGGCUGUGUUAGGGAUAU